AGGUGAGAAUACUGGAGUCAGUUUCUCUUUCCUUUUCCAGGGACUCUUCCUGACUCAGGGAUCAAACCCAGGUUUCCUGCAUUGCAGGCAGACCCUCUCCUGACUGAGCCACCGGGGAAGCCCUAUGACAAGAAUAAUCUAAGACCUUCAACAAGAUUUUGCAAUGAUAUAUUGUGAUCAUGUGCGGCUAUAUUUGAAUUACCAAGAUAGGGCAGGUGGCAUGUGAGA
rnacentral:lncRNA from 1 species